rnacentral:rRNA from 1 species
AUUGAACGCUGGCGGCAUGCCUUACACAUGCAAGUCGAACGGCAGCACGGGAGCAAUCCUGGUGGCGAGUGGCGAACGGGUGAGUAAUAUAUCGGAACGUGCCCGGUCGUGGGGGUAACGUAGCGAAAGCUACGCUAAUACCGCAUACGAUCUACGGAUGAAAGCGGGGGAUCGCAAGACCUCGCGCGAUUGGAGCGGCCGAUAUCAGAUUAGGUAGUUGGUGAGGUAAAGGCUCACCAAGCCGACGAUCUGUAGCUGGUCUGAGAGGACGACCAGCCACACUGGGACUGAGACACGGCCCAGACUCCUACGGGAGGCAGCAGUGGGGAAUUUUGGACAAUGGGCGCAAGCCUGAUCCAGCAAUGCCGCGUGCAGGAUGAA